UACGUAGGGCGCAAGCGUUGUCCGGAAUUAUUGGGCGUAAAGAGCUCGUAGGCGGUUUGUCGCGUCUGCUGUGAAAACCUAAGGCUCAACCUUGGGCUUGCAGUGGGUACGGGCAGACUAGAGUGCGGUAGGGGUGACUGGAAUUCCUGGUGUAGCGGUGGAAUGCGCAGAUAUCAGGAGGAACACCGAUGGCGAAGGCAGGUCACUGGGCCGCAAACUGACGCUG
rnacentral:rRNA from 1 species